UACGGGGGGGCAAGCGUUGUUCGGAAUUACUGGGCGUAAAGGGCUCGUAGGCGGCCAACUAAGUCAGACGUGAAAUCCCUAGGCUCAACCUAGGAACUGCGUCUGAUACUGGAUGGCUUGAAUCCGGGAGAGGGAUGCAGAAUUCCAGGUGUAGCGGUGAAAUGCGUAGAUAUCAGUCGGAACACCGGUGGCGAAGGCGGCUUCUUGGGCCAUUUCUGACGCUGAGGCGCGAAAGCUAGGGGAGCGAACGGG
rnacentral:rRNA from 1 species